UACGAAGGGGGCUAGCGUUGUUCGGAUUUACUGGGCGUAAAGCGCACGUAGGCGGACUAUUAAGUCAGGGGUGAAAUCCCGGGGCUCAACUCCAGAACUGCCUUUGAUACUGGAGAGCUUGAGUCCGGGAGAGGUGAGUGGAACUCCGAGUGUAGAGGUGAAAUUCGUAGAUAUUCGGAAGAACACCAGUGGCGAAGGCGGCUCACUGGCCCGGUACUGACGCUGAUGUGCGAAAGCGUGGGGAGCAAACAGG
rnacentral:rRNA from 1 species